ACUGCAGGCCGGGUGACCGCGGGCCGGCAUCAACCGGUCCGAGGAAAGUCCGGACACCGAAGGGCAGGACGCUGGGGAAAUCCCAGGCGGCGAAAGCCGACGGAAAGUGGCACAGAAAGGAGACCGCCACCGGCGUAGGACUCCGGAGACGCCGGAGAGGUAAGGGUGAAAAGGUGGGGUAAGAGCCCACCAGCGCCGUGGUGACACGGCGGCUAGCCAAACCCCGUCUGGUGCAAGGCGAACAGGCCCCGCUUGAGGUUGCCCGCCGAGGGGCCGGGUGCGCUGCUGGAGCCGUCGAGAGAUCGGCGGCCUAGAUGGAUGGUCACCCCCGACAGAAUCCGGCUUACAGGUCUGCUAAGGAA
rnacentral:RNase_P_RNA from 1 species